AAGUCGUAACAAGGUUUCCGUAGGUGAACCUGCGGAAGGAUCAUUACCAAUUUUAGCGAACCUGACCUCUUGGUCAUGGUCUCGUGAAAACUUUGUAUUUAAAACCCCACUCUUUAUAAAUUGAAUCAUUCAUUAUUAUGUAUAAUAAAUAAAGAUCACUUUCAACAACGGAUCUCUUGGCUCUC
rnacentral:misc_RNA from 1 species